AACGAACGCUGGCGGCAUGCCUAACACAUGCAAGUCGAACGAGACCUUCGGGUCUAGUGGCGCACGGGUGCGUAACGCGUGGGAACCUGCCCUUGGGUUCGGAAUAACGUCGGGAAACUGACGCUAAUACCGGAUAAUGUCUUCGGACCAAAGAUUUAUCGCCGAAGGAUGGGCCCGCGUAGGAUUAGCUAGUUGGUGAG
rnacentral:rRNA from 1 species